rnacentral:rRNA from 1 species
UAGGGAAUCUUCCACAAUGGGCGCAAGCCUGAUGGAGCAACACCGCGUGAGUGAAGAAGGGUUUCGGCUCGUAAAGCUCUGUUGUUAAAGAAGAACACAUAUGAGAGUAACUGUUCAUACGUUGACGGUAUUUAACCAGAAAGUCACGGCUAACUACGUGCCAGCAGCCGCGGUAAUACGUAGGUGGCAAGCGUUAUCCGGAUUUAUUGGGCGUAAAGAGAGUGCAGGCGGUUUUCUAAGUCUGAUGUGAAAGCCUUCGGCUUAACCGGAGAAGUGCAUCGGAAACUGGAUAACUUGAGUGCAGAAGAGGGUAGUGGAACUCCAUGUGUAGCGGUGGAAUGCGUAGAUAUAUGGAAGAACACCAGUGGCGAAGGCGGCUACCUGGUCUGCAACUGACGCUGAGACUCGAAAGCAUGGGUAGCGAACAGGAUUAGAUACCCUGGUAGUCCAUGCCGUAAACGAUGAGUGCUAGGUGUUGGAGGGUUUCCGCCCUUCAGUGCCGGAGCUAACGCAUUAAGCACUCCGCCUGGGGGAGUACGACCGCA